GAUUUCAGGUAAAUCCAGAUUUGGAGCUUGAAUGACUCAAAUGCUUUGCCUACAUUGAUCCUACAUUCAGGCUGCUUACAUAUCUCUUGGCUUCUCUGAGAACCAGAUUGUCACCACUUAAAGUGUCUUCCAGAGUCCUCACGAGUAUCAGAGAAGGCAUAAUCCGUACACGUGGCUCCAUUUAAAAUGAAAAUAUCAAGCAGUGUCAUUUUCACAAGUAUCCCCAUACUGUCUGAGGCUGAAAAGAAGAGUGUAGCUAUGCACACUGCAGUGAGAAGAAAAUUUCAGCUCAAUUGGAGGAUGUAAAGAUUGAAAUAUCACUGCUCCUAGUUCUGAUGCAAAAUUGAAAAGAGUGCACUGGGUCUUCAAAUGGCAGAUUGACAAGGAGAAAGAGGAAAGGAUGCCCCAGGACAGCCUGGGGGUCAAGGCUGGGCUCAGGCAUGCCUGGACAAGCCAUGCAAGUUGUCUCUGGACUUGAACCACGUAUCAGAGGAGCUAUUUGAGGAGCCACAUCAGCAUACCUGCUUCUAUGGGCCCCCAGGCUGUGGUGCUCAGCCCUUGCACUAUGAAACUUUUUUUUUUCCAGAAGCCAAAGCUUUGAGCAUCUCCUCCCAUAUAGAGAGUGUAUAUGUUUACAUCCAUGUCUUUCGCCAUGUGAACGCAUGCAACCACCACCUCAAAUAUCAUAAAUCCUCUCUCUCCCCCUUUCUGUCUGCCUGUUUAUCUACAAUCUGUCUAUUUAAAUUCUUUUUGAACAAGAAGGGAAUAUCUUUAUGCCUGUUUGUAGGGAUAUUCUACAUCCAUCUGUUAUUUACAUCAUUCGUUUUCCUGAGGUGUCUCCAACAAAUCCUGGCUGGAUGCACUGUAUGUGUUAUUAAUAAAACAGCUGUAAAAAUA